rnacentral:rRNA from 1 species
AUUGAACGCUGGCGGCAGGCUUAACACAUGCAAGUCGAGCGGAGAUGAGGUGCUUGCAUCUUAUCUUAGCGGCGGACGGGUGAGUAAUGCUUAGGAAUCUGCCUAUUAGUGGGGGACAACAUUCCGAAAGGAAUGCUAAUACCGCAUACGUCCUACGGGAGAAAGCAGGGGAUCUUCGGACCGUGCGCUAAUAGAUGAGCCUAAGUCGGAUUAGCUAGUUGGUGGGGUAAAGGCCUACCAAGGCGACGAUCUGUAGCGGGUCUGAGAGGAUGAUCCGCCACACUGGGACUGAGACACGGCCCAGACUCCUACGGGAGGCAGCAGUGGGGAAUAUUGGACAAUGGGGGGAACCCUGAUCCAGCCAUGCCGCGUGUGUGAAGAAGGCCUUAUGGUUGUAAAGCACUUUAAGCGAGGAGGAGGCUACUGAGACUAAUACUCUUGGAUAGUGGACGUUACUCGCAGAAUAAGCACCGGCUAACUCUGUGCCAGCAGCCGCCGUAACAC